UACGUAGGGAGCAAGCGUUGUCCGGAUUUACUGGGUGUAAAGGGUGCGUAGGCGGCUUGGUAAGUCAGAUGUGAAAUGUAGAGGCUCAACCUCUGAACUGCAUUUGAAACUAUCGAGCUUGAGUGAAGUAGAGGCAGGCGGAAUUCCCUGUGUAGCGGUGAAAUGCGUAGAGAUAGGGAGGAACACCAGUGGCGAAGGCGGCCUGCUGGGCUUUAACUGACGCUGAGGCACGAAAGCGUGGGUAG
rnacentral:rRNA from 1 species